UUGGAGGGCAAGUCUGGUGCCGGCAGCCGCGGUAAUUCCAGCUCCAAUAGCGUAUAUUAAAGUUGUUGCAGUUAAGAAGCUCGUAGUUGAAUUUCGGGGUUAGUAGGUUGGUCAUGCCACUGGUAUGUACUGGUCUCACUGAUUCCUCCUUCCUGAUGAGCCGUAAUGCCAUUAAUUUGGUGUUGCGAGGAAUCUGGACUGUUACUUUGAAAAAAUUAGAGUGUUUAAAGCAAGCUAACGCUUGAAUACAUUAGCAUGGAAUAAUGAAAUAGGACGUUCGAUCCUAUUUUGUUGGUUUCUAGGAUUGACGUAAUGAUUAAUAGGGAUAGUUGGGGGCAUUAGUAUUCAAUUGUCAGAGGUGAAAUCCUUGGAUUUAUUGAAGACUAACUACUGCGAAAGCAUUUGCCAAGGAUGUUUUCAUUAAUCAAGAACGAAAGUUAGGGGAUCGAAGACGAUCAGAUUCCGUCGUAGUCUUAACCAUAAACUAUGCCGACUAGGGAUCGGAUGAUGUUAAUUUUUUAAUGACUCAUUCGGCGCCUUACGGGAAACCAAAGUGUUUGGGUUC
rnacentral:rRNA from 1 species